CCUCCCUCCGGUUACGGUCCCUCCAAUUAACCUUCCCCCAGGGACGGUUCCUCCAGUAACUAAGCCACCAAGUGGGAAACCCUGCCCAACACCACCAACCAAGGACACUUGCCCCAUUGACACACUGAAAUUGGGUGCUUGUGUGGAUCUGCUGGGAGGGUUGGUGCACAUUGGACUAGGUGACCCGGUUGUGAAUCAAUGUUGUCCGGUUCUUUCAGGACUCGCCGAGCUCGAAGCUGCGGUCUGCUUGUGCACCACCCUCAAACUUAAGGUUCUCAACCUUAAAAUUUAUGUGCCACUGGCUCUUCAACUCCUUGUCACAUGUGGGAAAACACCCCCUCCUGGUUACACUUGCUCUCUCUAAAACCAAGUUAAGUACAUCUCAUUUGAAAUUUUCUUAAAUGCUAAGAAAAAAAAUUUAUUAAACUGGUUUUUGUUUGAUUUUUACACUACUUUUAGGGUUUAAGGACAGCAAUGGUUUUGUACGUACCAGUAAUAUUCUUUUUUACGUCUAUUAUAUAUAAUAUAUAUAUUAAAUGUAGACUGCUAAAGUCUUAGUUAAUUAGGAACAAAAAUCAAAUAUAACCCAAAAAGAAUAAAUAAAGCAUGUCAUCAUUCUCGCCUAUUAUUAACUCAAUUGCCCAUAAGUAUUAAUAUAUAAUUAUAUACAUAUGUUUGAAUAUGUGUGGAAUAUAUCGACCUAUACACUCUAAAUAACGAAUGUUGUUAAUUAUUAUUACAUUAACAGCAGCUUUGUUGCUAAUUAGAUUUCAUGGC
rnacentral:lncRNA from 1 species